rnacentral:rRNA from 1 species
AUGCCGCCGAGACCUCCGCUUCCCCUCUCCGUCGCCGUCGCCGUACUCUCCGUCCUCCUCCUCACGGCGGAGGCGGUGCCCUUCGUCGUCCUGCACGGGAUUGGGGACCAGUGCGCCAACCGCGGCGUCGCCGAGUUCACCCGCCUCCUCGCCGACUGGUCCGCCGCCGACGGCCACUGCCUAGAAAUCGGAAGCGGGACAUGGGACUCCUGGCUCAUGCCUCUCCACCAACAGGCUGAUGCCAUUUGCAACAAGGUGAAGGAGAUGAAAGAGCUGAGCGGCGGCUAUAACAUCGUUGGCCUGUCUCAGGGGAACUUGAUUGGCCGUGCAGUGCUCCAGUAUUGUGAUGAUGGACCACCGGUCAAGAAUUUCAUCUCACUCGCGGGGCCUCAUGCUGGCACCGCUUCCGUGCCGCUUUGUGGUUCUGGUAUUUUCUGUGUUAUUGCUGAUGCCCUGAUUAAAUUGGAGAUCUACUCGGACUACGUACAGGCACAUCUUGCACCAAGUGGCUACAUCAAAAUCCCAACGGAUAUGGAUGAUUAUCUGAAGGGAUGCAGGUUUCUUCCCAAACUUAACAAUGAGAUACCCGGUGAAAGAAAUGCUACCUACAAGGAACGGUUCAGCAGCUUAGAGAAUUUAGUAUUGAUCAUGUUUGAGAAUGAUGUCGUCGUCAUACCCCGGGAAACUUCGUGGUUUGGGUAUUAUCCUGAUGGAGCCUUUGAGCCAGUCCUACCUCCUCAGCAGACAAAGCUGUAUCAGGAAGACUGGAUUGGUCUGAAGGCCCUGGACAAGGCCGGGCGAGUCAAGUUCGUCUCCGUGCCAGGAGGUCACCUGGGCAUCUCCAACAGUGACAUGAGGAAACACAUUGUGCCUUACUUGAAGGACAAACCAUCUGUUUCUGCUUCACUCGCCGCCACCUGGCACGCCGUCGGGGAAGCGCUCGGGCUGAUGGGGGACGAUGUCGGCGUCCUCCUUCAGUCCUCGACAUGA